rnacentral:rRNA from 1 species
CCCUACGGGGCGCAGCAGUGGGGAAUAUUGGACAAUGGGGGAAACCCUGAUCCAGCGACGCCGCGUGAGUGAAGAAGUAUUUCGGUAUGUAAAGCUCUAUCAGCAGGGAAGAAAAUGACGGUACCUGACCAAGAAGCCCCGGCUAACUACGUGCCAGCAGCCGCGGUAAUACGUAGGGGGCAAGCGUUAUCCGGAUUUACUGGGUGUAAAGGGGGCGUAGACGGCCGUGCAAGUCUGAUGUGAAAACCCGGGGCUCAACCCCGGGACUGCAUUGGAAACUGCAUGGCUGGAGUGUCGGAGAGGCA